rnacentral:rRNA from 2 species
CCCCUGUGAACAUACCACUUGUUGCCUCGGCGGAUCAGCCCGCUCCCGGUAAAACGGGACGGCCCGCCAGAGGACCCCUAAACUCUGUUUCUAUAUGUAACUUCUGAGUAAAACCAUAAAUAAAUCAAAACUUUCAACAACGGAUCUCUUGGUUCUGGCAUCGAUGAAGAACGCAGCAAAAUGCGAUAAGUAAUGUGAAUUGCAGAAUUCAGUGAAUCAUCGAAUCUUUGAACGCACAUUGCGCCCGCCAGUAUUCUGGCGGGCAUGCCUGUUCGAGCGUCAUUUCAACCCUCAAGCACAGCUUGGUGUUGGGACUCGCGUUAAUUCGCGUUCCCCAAAUUGAUUGGCGGUCACGUCGAGCUUCCAUAGCGUAGUAGUAAAACCCUCGUUACUGGUAAUCGUCGCGGCCACGCCGUUAAACCCCAACUUCUGAAUGUUGACCUCGGAUCAGGUAGGAAUACCCGCUGAACUUAAGCAUAUC